UCUAAUUACAUUGUGUAUAUGCACAAGCCAUCUUAUACAAAGCAGCCAAAAAAUAGGAAACCGAAACGCUGCAAUGUUUUUUUGAAGAAAACUGCUUUUAUGUCUGGUUUUCUUUGACUUUUAGAGACACCAUCAAUAUACAAGUUAUAGCCUACUCCAUGGCGGAUCUAUUGCACUACUAGGGCCUACUUUUAUUAUUCCAUUGCAUUAGCCUACUCAACAUUACAGACAACAAUCUGUUUUAUUUCCAGGCAAAACUGAAGAUCAGGAACUGGAACCUGGGAACCUGGAAGAUGAUGUUGUCCUGAAGGACACAAUUCAGGCAGCAGCAUGGUGCCAGUUACAGUCCUUCAAGGACAGCGUUUCUCUCCCAGAGGUCAUUGGGAUGGAAGGUUGGGAGCAGAUGGCAGCAUCAACACAGCGCAAAUCCCAUGACGGCGGGGAUGAGGAAGAAACGUGGAAACCAUUCCAAUUCUCAUUCAGAUUACAUACUGACUAUGAACUGUUCUGUGUGGAGAUGAUGGACAGGAGAAACCUGAAGGUGUUUGCCUCUUUUGAGUCAAACACCUCUCCCCCUCCCCGUCCUCCCUCCCCGUGACGCCUGCGCCACACGACUCCAAUGUAGUCUGAGGAUGCAGCAUAAUGGCGGCGCUUGGCAGCUAUGGCGGCGGUGACGGCGAUGUCGGGUGACAGAGCGUGAAGCGAGAGUGGCGUCCACCUCACUGAGGAAGGCGUCAGUGUGUUCCCCCCCCCCGUUGAGACUUUGUUUGUUCUACUCUUUAUUGAUUUAUCUUUUAUGUUAAUAGUUUACAAUCUAUUUUUUGUAGUUGUUAUUUUGUAAUUGUUUUGUUGAAUAAAAAGACUGUUAGUGCUCCUGUGAUUGGUGCAACUUAAUGUGCUUCACACAUGUAGCUUUUCGUUAUGUCUAUUGAGGUACAUUUUUUGCCCUUAGAUGUGGUCACUUCGUUAUUCCUCACAUUACAUCUGUUAAGGUCAUACCUUUGGGUCCCAGUCUUCCCAGUCUUUCCCCAAAUCUUAUUUUGGCUCUUACUGGGCCUGUAACUCUCACAGACAGACGGGUACAGGAGUUCGCACACGUUGCAUUGUUUACAGGCAAGGGUGGAUUACCGCACGGGCACACCGGGCACAUGCCCAGGGGCCCAAGGGCGGUGGGGGGCCCUAAGCCAGAGCUUCUGUGUGAAGUCGCUGUUACUAUUAACUUGUAACUAUUAAUGUUGCAUUGUCGAAGCAAUCAGUAGAGAAAUACAAAAAUUCAAGCGAAAACAGCAAUAGUAGGCCUAUUAAUACUGAGUAAAAAAAAAAAAAGAUCACUAGGGGGCACUAUUUCAGUUAGUGAAUUUGAGAUUGGUCACGAACAAGGCACUGUGAUUUAAACAUGGAGCAACGGCGAACGGUUGUAACGUGAACUCUUAAGUAGAACCUAAAUAGGUCCAUGAGUGGAACAGCUAAGCGAAAAAAAAAUAAACAAGAGAAAAUGUAUUUGCAAGUCGUUUAGGCUAUGCUUAACUUUAUAAUAGUUCCAUGGUACGCAGCAAGAAAGAUACCCAGUCACAAUACUCCCGCACCAUCUGUUUGUAUAAUUUAAUUAACAGCAUGGGCUCCCGCUAGCUUAACAUAGUAUUACCGUUUACUCUUGCAUUAACAAGAGCAGCGGAAAUCUGCUCAAUCGUCUCGAUCAGGUCUCGAUGUGGACUGAGU